rnacentral:rRNA from 1 species
UGGGGGAUAUUGCACAAUGGGGGAAACCCUGAUGCAGCGACGCCGCGUGAAGGAAGAAGGCCUUCGGGUUGUAAACUUCUGUCGUACGGGACGAUAAUGACGGUACCGUACAAGAAAGCCACGGCUAACUACGUGCCAGCAGCCGCGGUAAAACGUAGGUGGCAAGCGUUGUCCGGAAUUACUGGGUGUAAAGGGAGCGCAGGCGGGAGAGCAAGUUGGGAGUGAAAUCUAUGGGCUCAACCCAUAAAUUGCUUUCAAAACUGCUUUUCUUGAGUAGUGCAGAGGUAGGCGGAAUUCCCGGUGUAGCGGUGGAAUGCGUAGAUAUCGGGAGGAACACCAGUGGCGAAGGCGGCCUACUGGGCACCAACUGACGCUGAGGCUCGAAAGCAUGGGUAGCAAACA